GAGUGAAACCAGUGAAAAAUAAGUUAUGACAAAACACUGAGAUAGUUAUGAGGAGUACACGAUGUAGUAGACCUCCUGUAGUAGACUAGUACUGUAGUAGACUGUAGACAGUGUGGUGGACUGUAGAGGAAAUGAGAAUCCUAUGAUCACAUGUGUUUUCUUACAGAAGCAGAAGCCAGUACAGUCAGUGAAUGGUUACUACCAGCUGACUGGUGUAGUCUCUCAUUUGGGAGGCUCCGCAAACUCCGGGCACUACAUUAGUGACAUAUUGCAUGCCAGUGGGAACUGGUUCUGCUGUAACGACAGCCAGGUAUCAAUGUCCAAUGAAGCCACUGUGCUGAGGACCAGAGCCCGGAGUGCCUACAUGCUCUUCUAUAUGUUCAGGUUCUGCUUACUCUCGCCAUCUAUAUUCUUGUGUUGCUAUUUAUGUGUACGGUUCCUUUCACCCUACAGGGCAAUAGAGCGGGAGGCCCCAGCACACAGGGCCUAACAGGGCCACCAGCAUCAGCCCCAGCCUAAACAGGGGCAGCACCUGGACCAGCCUCCAAACACUCAGACCUGUCUCAACAGGGAUAGUAGCAGGCCCAGUCUCAAAACCCCCAGCCCAGCCUCAACAGGGGUAGUACCAGGCCCAGUCUCAAACCCCCAGCCCAGCCUCAACAGGGGUAGUACCAGGCCCAGUCUCAAAACCCCCAUCCCAGCCUCAACACUCACACACCUGCCUCAAAAGGGGUAGCAUUUGGCCCAACAUCAACACACCCAGCCCAGCCUCAACAUGGGAAGAACCAGGUCCAGCCUCAACAUGGGCAGAACAAGACCCAGCCCCAACACCCUCAGACCUGCCUCAACAGGAAGAUUUAUCGUCUGGGAUUCAGGCCGGUCCUAACAGGAAACGUGACAAAGGGAAGCAGCUGUAAUGGAGCCUUCUAACACCCAAUCAGGUCUGGAGGAGGAAUGUCACAUAAAGAUUCAGAGAUGCUAUGAGUAUCUUUUGAAGUUACACCCCAGUUGUAUUCCAUUUGAAUAAAUACAGACAUGAAAAUGCUGGGCUAUGGAUGUGACCUUAGUUCUGUGAGUAGAAUAACGGGUCACCAAACAACCUAUGGGAACUCCUUCCCUUUCACGUGAUAUGAUUGAGAUGCUUAAUAUCAACGAUGUUUACAAUGACGCCACACCCUUACUGUACCAU